rnacentral:rRNA from 1 species
UAGUCCACGCCCUAAACGAUGUCAACUAGACGUUGGGCCCAUUUAAGGGCUUAGUGUCACAGCUAACGCGCUAAGUUGACCGCCUGGGGAGUACGACCGCAAGGUUGAAACUCAAAGGAAUUGACGGGGGCCCGCACAAGCGGUGGAGCAUGUGGUUUAAUUCGAUGCAACGCGAAGAACCUUACCAGCCCUUGACAUCCUCGGAACUUGUCAGAGAUGACUUGGUGCCUUCGGGAACCGAGAGACAGGUGCUGCAUGGCUGUCGUCGGCUCGUGUCGUGAGAUGUUGGGUUAAGUCCCGCAACGAGCGCAACCCUUGUCCCUAGUUGCCAGCACAUAAUGGUGGGAACUCUAGGGAGACUGCCGGUGACAAACCGGAGGAAGGUGGGGAUGACGUCAAGUCAUCAUGGCCCUUAUGGGUAGGGCUACACACGUGCUACAAUGGUCGGUACAGAGGGUUGCCAACCCGCGAGGGGGAGCUAAUCUCAGAAAACCGAUCGUAGUCCGGAUUGGAGU